rnacentral:rRNA from 1 species
GAUGAACGCUGGCGGCGUGCCUAAUACAUGCAAGUCGAGCGAACGGACGAGAAGCUUGCUUCUCUGAUGUUAGCGGCGGACGGGUGAGUAACACGUGGAUAACCUACCUAUAAGACUGGGAUAACUUCGGGAAACCGGAGCUAAUACCGGAUAAUAUUUUGAACCGCAUGGUUCAAAAGUGAAAGACGGUCUUGCUGUCACUUAUAGAUGGAUCCGCGCUGCAUUAGCUAGUUGGUAAGGUAACGGCUUACCAAGGCAACGAUGCAUAGCCGACCUGAGAGGGUGAUCGGCCACACUGGAACUGAGACAGGGUCCAGACUCCUACGGGAGGCAGCAGUAGGGAAUCUUCCGCAAUGGGCGAAAGCCUGACGGAGCAACGCCGCGUGAGUGAUGAAGGUCUUCGGAUCGUAAAACUCUGUUAUUAGGGAAGAACAUAUGUGUAAGUAACUGUGCACAUCUUGACGGUACCUAAUCAGAAAGCCACGGCUAACUACGUG